rnacentral:tRNA from 1 species
GCCUUCGUGGCGUAGUGGUCAGCACGCUGGGCGCGUAUUCCAGAGGUCCGUGGUUCGAGUCCUGGCGAAGGCG